rnacentral:lncRNA from 12 species
AUACAAAACCAGGCUAUGGGUCACAUUUGGCCUGAGGGCCAUUGUCUGGUGACCUCUGCUCUAGACUACAGCUGCCCAUUAGAAAUAGAGUGUGAGUCAUAUUUGUGGGGCACUUAUAUCAUUUAAAAUUUUCUAGUAGCCACAUUAGAAAAAGUUUCUAAAAAAGUAAAUUUUAAUAAUAUAUUUUGUUUGGCCAUUUAAACUAUUCCUUCCAUAAGUAAUUAAUUAAAAAUCAUUAGUGUGAAAUUUUACUUUUUUGUCUUUUAUCUUUUUGCACUUUGAAGUCUGUGUGUACAUUACAUUUACAGCACAUCUCAACUGCUGAAAAGCCACAUGUGGCUGGUGACUACUGGGUUGUCCAGGGCAGCCCCAUAUCUCAAUAAUUCUUUCCAAAAUGAGCAUAUAAUAGCAUUUGCCUUUUAGGGUCAUUGGGAAGAUUUAAAGAGAUAAUGCACGGAAGGCACAGAGCACACUGCCUGGUACAGAGUAAUCUUUAAAUGCCAGCUCAUCGUGGCUAAUAAGAAUCACUGUGCAUUGCAAUAAUGCUAAUGAUUAUUUUGAGGGACUGCCUGUAUCUAUUUCUUCCUUCUGGGAAAAGUUUGUCAAUCCUGGUGAUCAGAGGCCUUUCACAGGACUCUUCUCCCCAAGUUUGCCUUAUCAUUUCUUCCAGGAGCCCCUAAAGAUUCUGGCUUGUUCCUCCGAAAAUGGCAGCUUUCCUGAGGCCGAGGACACAGGCAAGAGUCGGGAGUCAAACACGGAGUUUAAGGAAUGAGCCGCAGCCCACAACUUCUCUGGGACACUGCGAUGCAAGGUUCAAAAUGCUGCCUUGUGGAUAUAAGCUCACUAGCCCUGAGCCUUCACAUAAGGUGAGUGAUGAAUGGAAACAAAUAGGCCAAGGAGCUUGACUGGGAAGUUAGUGGAGAAGACCAAAUGCAUUUUCCUUUGUCAUAUGACUUGUUUUUUGAAUAGGAGAGCCUUCUUCCACCUUGCCCUACAGGCUGCAAGUAAACACCCAGGUCUCUGACAGGAGCAUUCACAUGGUUGGGGUACCAAAUUUUGCUACUCCUAUCAGGAAAUGCUGUAGUGCUUAAGCAGGUGUAGUAGUACUGAUCUCCAGGAAACAAGAGGAUUUCUGAAUCUCUCUUAGAUUCAUUGAUACUGUUAUUCAAAACGAACCACUUGGAGAAAUGAACAUACACAGUACACAUUGACUUACUUUGUGACAUUCAUACAUGUGGUCUAAUCUUGAUGCAAAAGAUUGCAGCUGAUUUGUAUGAAUACAAAUUUUACCUUACCAAUCCUCUUACUCUACAAAAAAGGGCAGCAUUUGUUACAAUUAUCAUUACUAUUAAAAGUGAGAAUAAAAGCAAUAUUAAUGAACCGAUAGAUUUCCUU